rnacentral:rRNA from 1 species
UACGUAGGGUGCGAGCAUUGUCCGGAAUUAUUGGGCGUAAAGAGCUCGUAGGCGGCUUGUCACGUCGGAUGUGAAAAUCCAGGGCUCAACCCUGGACCUGCAUUCGAUACGGGCAGGCUAGAAUUCGGUAGGGGAGACUGGAAUUCCUGGUGUAGCGGUGAAAUGCGCAGAUAUCAGGAGGAACACCGGUGGCGAAGGCGGGUCUCUGGGCCGAUAUUGACGCUGAGGAGCGAAAGCGUGGGGAGCGAACAGG